rnacentral:rRNA from 1 species
ACGAACGCUGGCGGCAUGCCUAACACAUGCAAGUCGAACGAGACCUUCGGGUCUAGUGGCGCACGGGUGCGUAACGCGUGGGAAUCUGCCCUUGGGUUCGGAAUAACUCAGAGAAAUUUGAGCUAAUACCGGAUGAUGACGUAAGUCCAAAGAUUUAUCGCCCAAGGAUGAGCCCGCGUAAGAUUAGCUUGUUGGUGAGGUAAAGGCUCACCAAGGCGACGAUCUUUAGCUGGUCUGAGAGGAUGAUCAGCCACACUGGGACUGAGACACGGCCCAGACUCCUACGGGAGGCAGCAGUGGGGAAUAUUGGACAAUGGGCGAAAGCCUGAUCCAGCAAUGCCGCGUGAGUGAUGAAGGCCUUAGGGUUGUAAAGCUCUUUUACCAGGGAUGAUAAUGACAGUACCUGGAGAAUAAGCUCCGGCUAACUCCGU